GGUUAUAGCUCAGUGGUAAAGCACUUGCCUAGCAUGUAUGAGGCACUGGGUUCGAUUCCCAGCACCA
rnacentral:tRNA from 1 species